CUGCAUCCUGCUGCUCCUCACACUGACCUCCUGUGUCUGUGGAACAUUUGUAGUGAAUGUGACACAGAGCUCCUAUCAGGCAGAGGAGAACCACAACAUCACACUGGAGUGGAGCUUCACAACCAAACCUCACACUCCAUCUGACUCCCUUUUUAUCAUAUGUGAGCUGUUAACUGAUGAUCACAAAGACUCAAAAGUCCUGUAUCAUCUACAUAGCGGUAAUGAGGUCCCAGAGUCUAAGGAUGAACAGUUUUCAGGACGAGUCCAGUGUGACAAAGACGUCCUCAGAGAAGGACGAAUCAGACUUCAUGUGUCCAGACUGAGGACUGAGGACUCAGGACUGUACCUGUGUGAGGUCAACACAUAUUAUGGUGCAAACAUUGGCAAAUGCAAACUCAGCGUCUCUGCAGCUGCUGACACAUACUCUGAGCCCAAACGUCAGAGUUUAACUGUGAGACCAAAACCAGAGAGUCGGGGAAGGAUCGGCCUCUAUACUGGACUGGGACUGGUGGCGGGAGCAGCGGUAGCAGCGGUAGCAGCAGGAGCAG